AGCACCAGUCCUGUUUUAGAGUCCAUAUCAACACUAGGGUUUGCGACUCUGCCAUGGAGCUAGACUUCCUAAUGGUGUAACCGCUAUUAAUGGCUCGUUUGUUCAACGAUUAAGGUCCCACGUGCUCUGAGUUCAGAUAGGAGCAAUCCAGGUC
rnacentral:rRNA from 1 species